GACGAACGCUGGCGGCGUGCUUAACACAUGCAAGUCGAACGAGUGGCGAACGGGUGAGUAAUACGUGAGUAACCUGCCCUCUUUUUGGGAUAAGCCUUGGAAACGGGGUCUAAUACCGGAAUAAGGGGGAUGGGCUCGUGGCCUGUCAGCGUGUUGGUGGGUUGAUGUCAUACCAAGGCGGUGACGGGUAGCCGGCAUGAGAGGGUGACCGGACACAGUGGGACUGUGAGACGGCCUAGACUCCUACGGGAGGGAGCAGUGGGGGAUAUUGCACAAUGGGCGAAAGAGUGAUGCAGCGACGCCGAGUGGGGGAUGAAGGCUUUCGGGUUGUAAACCUCUGGCGCUAGCGAACGGGUAGGUGGAGAAGAAGCGCCGGCUAACUACGUGCCAGCAGCCGCGGUAAUUC
rnacentral:rRNA from 1 species